GUGGCCGGCAGAAUUCACAUGCUCACCAGUCUGGUCCUGGAAGCCAGGUGGUGUGGUGGCCUGAGUAAGCAUUGCGCCUACAACAGACGGGUCACCAGCGGCCACUCACCAAACUCCCCGCCUGCCCUCUCCCUCCAGCCGCUGCCCGGACCCCGAGCAGGGUCUCUCUAUGGUCGAUGUGGGAAUUAAAUGGCAUAAAAGAGCUCGUCGUCCUGGCCUGGCCUCAACAGCCCCGACGUGGUGGUGCUGUACCCACACCGGCUUGGGAAACAGAACGUACCUUGGGCGCUUGCUGAGGGCAGCCCCACCUCUUCAAGCCUGCAGACAGGGACAGAACAGCGAGGCACCACGAAAGCAUGGCUUUUCAAAACACAUUUCCAGAAGAAAAGACACGUGCUGGGUGAAAAGAACACAGACAUGUGUCCCACACGAGGUAAAAUGUGACCUCGAAAGAAGAGCCAGGACCUAAGAGGACUCUACAUACUCAGGGCAUCCUGCUUGGAUUCUCGGACGGAUGAAAACCACAGCCAUGGGAGUUCCCGUCGUGGCGCAGUGGUUAAUGAAUCCAACUAGGAACCAUGAGGUUGCGGGUUCGGUCCCUGGCCUCGCUCAGAGGGUUAAGGAUCCGCCGUUGCCGUGAGCUGUGGUGUGGGUCACAGACACGGCUUGGAUCCUGCGUUGCUCUGGCUCUGGCGUAGGCCGGUGGCUUCAGCUCCGAUUAGACCCCUACCCUGGGAACCUCCAUAUGCUGUGGGAGCGGCUCAAGAAAAGGCAAAAAGACAAAACAAACGAAAAACAAACAAACAAACAAACAGAGAAAGAGUUUGCCUGGGUUUUAUUGAUGUCCUGGGCUUGUGACCGGCCGCUGCGAGGGUCAUGAUUCCCACAGGUUUGGCCUUUUGCUCAGAAAGCCGGCCUUGCUCAUGGAAGAUGCCGGAAGACCACUAGUGGGAAACGGAGUUUGAGAGUUCGGGCCUGCCUGUCAGCUGACAGAGAAAGCACGUGGCCCCUGCAGAGAGCAACUGUCACUCAGCCACGGAAGCGCGU
rnacentral:lncRNA from 1 species